CGGGCCGUAGCGCAGUUUGGUAGCGCACUUGACUGGGGGUCAAGGGGUCGCGGGUUCAAAUCACGCCGGCCCGACCG
rnacentral:tRNA from 1 species